AAGGGAUGAAACUUUGAUCUCUUCUCUCUUUUCCAAUGGUUAUACUGGUGAUGAGAGUUCAUUUUACAAGUCGGAGAAUGAGUAUGCAGGGGGGGAUCUCAGUGAUUUAGAAUUAAUGUCACCGUCUUCCAGGCAUUCUUGGGAUUAUGUCAACAAAUUUGAUAGCCCAUAUUCUGUUUCUUCCAUUAGCCGUAUUUCAUGUUCUCCAGAGUCAUCAGUUUGCCGAGAAGCCAAGAAGCGCCUCUCAGAAAGAUGGUCAUUGAUGGCAUCAAAUGCCAAUUCACAAGAA
rnacentral:misc_RNA from 1 species